UCCCUGGUGGUCCAGUGGUUAGGACUUGGCACUUACACUGCUGUGGUCCCGGGUUCGAGCCCUGCUCGGGGAA